rnacentral:rRNA from 1 species
AACGAACGCUGGCGGCAGGCUUAACACAUGCAAGUCGAACGCCCCGCAAGGGGAGUGGCAGACGGGUGAGUAACGCGUGGGAAUCUACCGUGCCCUACGGAACAACAGGUGGAAACGACUGCUAAUACCGUAUGCGCCCUACGCGGGAAAGAUUUUUUGGGGUAUGAUGAGCCGGCGUUGGUUUAGCAAGUUGGUGGGGAUAAGGCCUACCAGGGCGACGAUUCAUAGCUGGUCUGGGAGGCUGAUCAGCCACAUUGGGACUGAGACACGGCCCGAACUACUACGGGAGGCAGCAGUGGGGAAUAUUGGAAAAUGGGCGCAAGCCUGAUCCAGCCAUGCCGCGUGAGUGAUGAAGGUCUUAGGAUUGUAAAGCUCUUUCACCGACGAAGAUAAUGACGGUAGUCGGAGAAGAAGCCCCGGCUAACUUCGUGCCAGCAGCCGCGGUAACAC